rnacentral:tRNA from 1 species
GUGUAGUUUAGUGGUAGGAUGAGUGCUUCUCAUGCUUAAGGCCUGGGUUCAAUUCCCAGCAC